CGGAGCAUGCGGAUUAAUUCGAUGCAACGCGAAGAACCUUACCAAGGCUUGACAUACACCGGUAACGCCCAGAGAUGGGUGCCCCUUUGUGGUCGGUGUACAGGUGGUGCAUGGUUGUCGUCAGCUCGUGUCGUGAGAUGUUGGGUUAAGUCCCGCAACGAGCGCAACCCUCGUCCUAUGUUGCCAGCGGGUCAUGCCGGGGACUCAUGGGAGACUGCCGGGGUCAACUCGGAGGAAGGUGGGGAUGACGUCAAAUCAUCAUGCCCCUUAUGUCUUGGGCUUCACGCAUGCUACAAUGGCCGGUACAAAGGGCUGCGAUACCGCGAGGUGGAGCGAAUCCCAGAAAGCCGGUCUCAGUUCGGAUUGGGGUCUGCAACUCGACCCCAUGAAGUCGGAGUCGCUAGUAAUCGCAGAUCAGCAACGCUGCGGUGAAUACGUUCCCGGGCCUU
rnacentral:rRNA from 1 species